rnacentral:rRNA from 1 species
UACGUAGGGUGCAAGCGUUAAUCGGAAUUACUGGGCGUAAAGCGUGCGCAGGCGGUUUGUUAAGACAGAUGUGAAAUCCCCGGGCUUAACCUGGGAACUGCAUUUGUGACUGGCAAGCUAGAGUAUGGCAGAGGGGGGGUAGAAUUCCACGUGUAGCAGUGAAAUGCGUAGAGAUGUGGAGGAAUACCGAUGGCGAAGGCAGCCCCCUGGGCCAAUACUGACGCUCAUGCACGAAAGCGUGGGGAGCAAACAGG